CUCUGCUCUGUGGCCUCAGCACUCAGGGGCACCACAAACAUUCAGCAGGCAGGGGAGGCUUGCAGGAGCUGGGGGACUCAGAGUCAGUCUGCAAGCCCCCUCCUCUUUUUGUGUUGCACAGCUCGUCUGAACCUGAACGACAUCGCCAAGCAACCCCGCCUGAACAUCCUCAACAACGCUGCCACAGCUCUCAUCUUCAUCACAGUCAUCCUCAACAUCUUCAUCACAGCCUUCGGCGUGCAGAAGACUGGCCUCUACCCUAACAGGAAUUUUGGACCUUAUUAAUUCAUGGGGCAGUGGAUUCAGGGUCUGAGCAGUGCAGCUCUCCUCCACUGACCUCAGCAGGAGCCCAUGGACCAAUGCAGAGAUCUGGGUUCAAUUCAAACCUCUGUGUGUGUCACAGCACACCAGCCCCUUACUGCAAUGCUUCUGCAGCUCUGGGGGCUGGGAGCGCUGCCUUUCCCAGCUACAGCAAACUUUGCAAGAGAGAACUGCAGGAACAGCAGCAGGUGUACCUUGUAAAAGUGCAGUUCUGUAAAUCUCUCCUUAUUUUAGCUGCCUGCUUCACAUAUUCAAUAUUGGCUCAUUUGCUAGAGAAAACUGAAUUAUUUACUUUGUAGGCUAAAGAAAUAAACCCAGUCUUUUUUUUUU